GACGAACGCUGGCGGCGUGCUUAACGCAUGCAAGUCGAACGGAAAGGCCCUGCUUUUGUGGGGUGCUCGAGUGGCGAACGGGUGAGUAACACGGGAGUAACCUGCCCUUGACUUUGGGAUAACUUCAGGAAACUGGGGCUAAUACCGGAUAGGAGCUCCUGCUGCAUGGUGGGGGUUGGAAAGUUUCGGCGGUUGGGGAUGGACUCGCGGCUUAUCAGCUUGUUGGUGGGGUAGUGGCUUACCAAGGCUUUGACGGGUAGCCGGCCUGAGAGGGUGACCGGCCACAUUGGGACUGAGAUACGGCCCAGACUCCUACGGGAGGCAGCAGUGGGGAAUAUUGCACAAUGGGCGGAAGCCUGAUGCAGCAACGCCGCGUGCGGGAUGACGGCCUUCGGGUUGUAAACCGCUUUCGCCUGUGACGAAGCGUGAGUGACGGUAAUGGGUAAAGAAGCACCGGCUAACUACGUG
rnacentral:rRNA from 1 species